GCAUUAGUAGUGUAACGGUAUCAUACCAGCCUUCCAAGCUGGUGACCCGGGUUCGACUCCCGGCUAAUGCA
rfam:Naegleria gruberi genomic scaffold NAEGRscaffold_23, whole genome shotgun sequence.